GACGAACGCUGGCGGCGUGCUUAACACAUGCAAGUCGAACGAAGAGCGAUGGAAGCUUGCUUCUAUCAAUCUUAGUGGCGAACGGGUGAGUAACGCGUAAUCAACCUGCCCUUCAGAGGGGGACAACAGUUGGAAACGACUGCUAAUACCGCAUACGAUCUAACCUCGGCAUCGAGGAUAGAUGAAAGGUGGCCUCUACAUGUAAGCUAUCACUGAAGGAGGGGAUUGCGUCUGAUUAGCUAGUUGGAGGGGUAACGGCCCACCAAGGCGAUGAUCAGUAGCCGGUCUGAGAGGAUGAACGGCCACAUUGGGACUGAGACACGGCCCAGACUCCUACGGGAGGCAGCAGUGGGGAAUCUUCCGCAAUGGACGAAAGUCUGACGGAGCAACGCCGCGUGAGUGAUGACGGCCUUCGGGUUGUAAAGCUCUGUUAAUCGGGACGAAAGGCCUUCUUGCGAAUUGUUAGAAGGAUUGACGGUACCGGAAUAGAAAGCCACGGCUAACUACGUG
rnacentral:rRNA from 1 species